UUUGGUUCCAAGUCCAGUGUUGCAACUCUCAAGGAUCAGCUGAUUCAUAAUCUUCUAAAACAACAACAGACCCCCCCCCCCAUUAAGAUUACAUUUGUUGGGGUUAGUGCUGUUGGCAUGGUCUGUGCCAUCAGUAUCUUGAUGAAGGACUUGGCAGAUGAACUUGCUCUUGUUGAUGUCAUGGAAGACAAAUUGAAGGGAGAGAUGACGGAUCUCCAACAUGGCAGCCUUUUCCUUAGAACACCAAAGAUUAUCUCUGGCAAAGACCAUAAUGUAAUUGCAAACUCCAAGCUGGUCAGUAUCACGUCUGGGGCACGUCAGCAAGAGGGAGAAAGCCAUCUUAAUUUGGACCAGCAUAACAUGAACAUCUUUAAAUUCAUCAUUCCUAAUGUUGUAAAAUACAGCCCGAACUGCAAGUUGCUUAUUGUUUCAAAUCCAGCGGAUAUCUUGACCUAUGUGACUUGGAAGAUAAGUGGCUUUCCCAAAAAACGUGUUAUUGGAAGUGGUUGCAAUCUGGAUUCAGCCCAAUUCCGUUACCUGAUGGGGGAAAGCUGGGAGUUCACCCAUUAAGCUGUCAUGGGCGGGUCCUUGGGGAACAUGGAGAUCCUAGUGUGCCUUUAUGGAAUGGAGUGAAUGUUGCUGGUGUCUCCCUGAAGACUCUGCACUCACAUUUAGGGACUGAUACAGAUAAGGAACAGUGGAAAGAGGUUCACAAGCAGGUGGUUGAGAGUCCUUACAAGGUGAUCAAACUGAAAGGCUACACAUCCUGGGCCAUUGGACUCUCUGUGGCAGAUUUGGCAGAGAGUAUAAUAAAGAAUCUCAGGUGGGUACACUCAAUUUCCACCAUGAUUAAGGGUUUCUAUGGAAUAAAGGAUGAUGUGUUCCUUAGUGUUGCUUGCAUCUUGGCACAGAAUGCAAUCUCAGACCUUGUGAAGGUGACUCUGACUCCUAAGGAAGAGGUCCAUUUGAAAAAGAGUACAGAUACACUUUGGGGGAUCCAAAAAGAGUUGCAGUUAAAAGGCUUUCCUCUCCAGGAGCCUGGCAAGCCAAGCCGCCUUCCGCGGGGCAACAGCGCGAGGCAUUACCCCUACAGACCACUUGAGGGCACCAUCCGUCCUGAGUUGGAGAGAACGAUGGGAAGCAGGGCUCCUUCACAAGGCUGCGGGGCUCCUCUCCGGGCCCGCCCCCCCCCCCCCCAUCCAGCAACAGCCAAUCAGAAACUCACUGACAGCGCUGGGCUCUCCACGCUCAGUUUGCUGCUUACCAAUCCCGCGGCCCAAGGGGAGCGGGGCUCUGUGUGGCCGGAGCUGGGGGCCCACACGGAGCCCCUUGCCGGAUGCCCCCGGGUUAUGCGGAAGGGCCAGCCUAGGACAGCAGCCACUGCAUUUCUUUGGCUUGCGCUGCGGUCCCGAUGGAGCUCGGUUCUGACCCAGAACCAUGUCCAUGGUGAGCUGCAGCUCGGUUUCUUUGAGUGCAAUUUCAAUGUCAGUGCCAUUGCUCUGCAUCAGGACUGA